UGAAGUUGGGUGUGAAUUGGAGCUUUGGAUUGUGGUUUCUUGAGCUUGAAGUUUAGGAUUACCGGCACCUGAUCAGGAGCACCCAGGGGUUUGGAAUCUCUGUUAUUGCGGGACAACAGGAAAGGGUAAGUCAGUGGCUGAUCAACCAUGAGUUUGAGGAGCAAAACGAAGAAUGUACAUGUUCAAGCCAUAUCAGACCAAGCGGGUUAAGGGUCUAUCAGUGUUGAACUUUUGAAUUCUGUUUUGCCGCUUAGGUCGGCUAGAAAGAAAAGACUUGUAAUAAGUUUGUAAUUAUUUUUGGGAUCCCAACUAUUUUGAAAGUUUAAAUAUAUUACAAGUUUAUUUUCAUUCUGUUUAAUAUAAAAGUUUAAAUUCUGCGCUA